rnacentral:lncRNA from 13 species
UUGAUAGUAUUUAAUUUGGGUGAAUGUGUGUCCAGUGCUUGUGUGCCAGAUACAUCAACCCUUAUAGUUAUAUGGACCACCAUUUUCAACUUUUCCUUCAGACACUUAUAGUGAUACUAGUGCCACCAGAUUCCAUUUCCUUAUACGAAUUCAAUAGGAUUCCAUUUCCUUAUACGAAUUCAAUAGGAUUCCAUUUCCUUAUACGAAUUCAAUAGGAUUCAAUUUCCUUAUACGAAUUCAAUAGGAUUCAAUUUCCUUAUACGAAUUCAAUAGGAUUCCAUUUCCUUAUACGAAUUCAAUAGGAUUCCAUUUCCUUAUACGAAUUCAAUAGGAUUCCAUUUCCUUAUACGAAUUCAAUAGGAUUCCAUUUCCUUAUACGAAUUCAAUAGGAUUCCAUUUCCUUAUACGAAUUCAAUAGGAUUCCAUUUCCUUAUACAAAUUCAAAAAUGUUCAAUUCAGAUUCAAUUUCUGGUGUCAUUUGUCAUCUUUGCUUUUACCCGAAACACAUCUUUCCAAAAUGGAAAAUAUGCCUGUACAUUUUGCAGUAACAGCUAGGGUCUUAGGGCUACAACAGUAAAUAGUCAGAGUGAUCUGACAGUCCUGUUAAUGUCAGUGUGUGUGUAAAAGCUAUAACACUACUUAACACUGACAGUUAUGUUGAAUGCAUUACGANNNNNNNNNNAUUUCCUUAUACGAAUUCAAUAGGAUUCCAUUUCCUUAUACGAAUUCAAUAGGAUUCCAUUUCCUUAUACGAAUUCAAUAGGAUUCCAUUUCCUUAUACGAAUUCAAUAGGAUUCCAUUUCCUUAUACGAAUUCAAUAGGAUUCCAUUUCCUUAUACGAAUUCAAUAGGAUUCCAUUUCCUUAUACGAAUUCAAUAGGAUUCCAUUUCCUUAUACGAAUUCAAUAGGAUUCCAUUUCCUUAUACAAAUUCAAAAAUGUUCAAUUCAGAUUCAAUUUCUGGUGUCAUUUGUCAUCUUUGCUUUUACCCGAAACACAUCUUUCCAAAAUGGAAAAUAUGCCUGUACAUUUUGCAGUAACAGCUAGGGUCUUAGGGCUACAACAGUAAAUAGUCAGAGUGAUCUGACAGUCCUGUUAAUGUCAGUGUGUGUGUAAAAGCUAUAACACUACUUAACACUGACAGUUAUGUUGAAUGCAUUACGAUGUGGUUUAUAAUGCAUUGUAAAACAUGUUAUAAUCAUGUAUGACACCCCCCCCCCCUCCCCCCUCUCCCCCUUUGAUAAAGUCUUACCUCAUAAUGAUCAUCUCAAAUUUCAGUCAGUUGAAAACAUGAUACAUAGAGAGACGUAUUACAGGCUUUUAAAACAAGACUGAUGCUUUCUUACAACAGAUACAUAGAGAGACGUAGUACAGGCUUUUAAAACAAGACUGAUGCUUUCUUACAACAGGUAAUAAAGCGCUGUGGCUGCUUCAAGUGGAACUAGUUAUACCACCCGUUGUGUUGAUUCUCUCAGGGUACUUUUACUGUGUGCGCUGGGAAGACCUUGCAAGCUGUAGGGUUUUUUAACCCAUUGAGGUCCAACAGUAUAUGUACUGUAUUUGUGUUUUCCAUUGUCAUCCAUUGAAGCCUUCAUUAACAGUUUUUUUUUUAGAACACAUAUUUAGCCUAGCUGAUUAUGGGAAUAGUCUGCGCCAUUGUGAAUAUGAUAUGGAAGAAUUAUUAAAAGUUUUAAAAAAUGACGAGUGUGUGGUUUUACCUGUACUGUGAUUAUUAGUAAUGUGUUUAUUUUUUUUUUUUUAUGUAGAACUGUGGUUAGCACAUUUAUUUAGAAACAGAUGACAUCAUUUGAGGGCCCACAAUAACUAUUUCCAUCUCUUUUUCGUUUUGUUAGUCUUCAUUGAAUCAGACAUGGUUAGCUAAAUUUAGCCUGGUCAAAUGUGCUCUUGCCAAUUACAUUGCUGUCAUUGUUUUGGCAUGACCCGCACAAACAGACUGGCACUCAGACUAUAGAAAAUUACCAAGUGGUCUGAAGUAUGACAAUCUGUACCGAAGCGUCUUGAUAUGGGCUAGCCUAUUCACUGAUUGGUUGAAUAUUAGAGGUGGCAGACAGAUAAACAUGCAGACAAUACACUUUCAUUAACCCAGAUUAGAAAAUGGAAUGGUCAUAGAAGACAGAUUAGAGAACGGAACGGUCAUAGAAGACAGAUUAGAGAACGGAACGGUCAUAGAAGACAGAUUAGAGAACGGAACGGU